AUUGAACGCUGGCGGCAGGCUUAACACAUGCAAGUCGAGCGGAGAGAGGUAGCUUGCUACUGAUCUUAGCGGCGGACGGGUGAGUAAUGCUUAGGAAUCUGCCUAUUAGUGGGGGACAACAUUUCGAAAGGAAUGCUAAUACCGCAUACGUCCUACGGGAGAAAGCAGGGGAUCUUCGGACCUUGCGCUAAUAGAUGAGCCUAAGUCGGAUUAGCUAGUUGGUGGGGUAAAGGCCUACCAAGGCGACGAUCUGUAGCGGGUCUGAGAGGAUGAUCCGCCACACUGGGACUGAGAGACGGCCCAGACUCCUACGGGAGGCAGGAGUGGGGAAUAUUGGACAAUGGGCGCAAGCCUGAUCCAGCCAUGCCGCGUGUGUGAAGAAGGCCUUAUGGGUGUAAAGCACUUUAAGCGAGGAGGAGGCUACUUUAGAUAAUACCUAAAGAUAGUGGACGUUACUCGCAGAAUAAGCACCGGCUAACUCUGUGCCAGCCGCCGCGGUAACAC
rnacentral:rRNA from 1 species